rnacentral:rRNA from 1 species
UGGGGAAUAUUGGACAAUGGGCGAAAGCCUGAUCCAGCGACGCCGCGUGUCGGAGGGAGUCCUUCGGGAUGUAAACGACUUUUGGUGGAGACGAAUAAGCAGCUCAGGGAAUGGGGCCGUGAUGACGGUAUCCAUGGAAUAAGCCCCGGCUAACUACGUGCCAGCAGCCGCGGUAAGACGUAGGGGGCAAGCGUUACCCGGAAUUACUGGGCGUAAAGGGAGCGUAGGCGGGAGGUCAAGUCCGGUGUGAAAGAUCCUGGCUCAACCAGGGAUGAGGGCUGGAAACUGACAGUCUUGAGUACAGCAGAGGAAGAGGGAAUUACCGGUGUAGGGGUGAAAUCCGUAGAGACCGGUAAGAAGGCCAGUGGCGAAGGCGCCUUUCUGGGCUGUUACUGACGCUGAGGCUCGAAAGCCAGGGGAGCAAACCG